CCACGUUUAUAUCUCUUACAAAAUAUUACAAAACAAAACAUUAUAAUAUAAAUUUUUCUAUUACAGACCCAAAUAAAAGUACUAAAAAGGAAACAUAAAUGAUUUAAAGUAAAGUUUUAAUCUUGUACCUUGUGCAUUAUGGUUUUACAAGCUAUUAAUUAAAAUAACUUCCCGAAUUCUAAGCGAGUUGCCUAUAUAUUGCUAAGAGCCCACUACUAGUUGUAGCAUCAACUUUAAAAAAUAUAUUUGCAGGGGCUACAUACCACACGCGCUAGAAAAUUGCUGGUUCUCAAUAAACUUUAUUAAUUAAAACAUGUAAUACACUUAUAAUGUAAACCUACAGAGGAUAAGCCCUGUAACUUAACACCAAAUAAUAAUCUAUACUCAUUUAUAGGCCUAAAAACAGCCACUAUCAACACUUUACCGUUAUUUUUAUAUAAUAAAUUUCAUACCUGUUAAAAAAAAUUGAGUUUUAAGUUAAACCGGAAACCUUAAAAAUUUAUGUAAAAAUAAGUAUUAAAUAUAUUAUAAAUAAAAUCAAUCAAAAAUCACUUAUGAAGGAACUCGGCAAAUCUUAUUUUAAUUCCUGCCCCAGGGACAAGUUCAACGGGCCGCGGUAUCCUAACCGUGCAAAGGUAGCAUAAUCACUUGCCCAUUAAUUGUGGGCUAGAAUGAAAGGACUAACGAAAUAAAGACUGUCUCCAUAAGCCCAAUAAAAAUUAACCUCUAAUUGAAGAACAUUAGAUACUAUCGAAGGACAAGAAGACCCUAUAGAGCUUCAUUAUAUCAAAAAUUUAUUUUUUUGUUAAAAUUCGGUUGGGGCGACCUGGGAAUUUAUAUAACAUCCCUUAUUAAAGAUUUAUUAAUCAUAUAAAAGACCCUUAAAUUUAGAGCUUAAAAAUAAGCUACCUUAGGGAUAACAGGCUAAUCCCUCUAAAGAGUCCUUAUUAAUAGUGGGGUUUGGCACCUCGAUGUUGGCUUAGGGAAUCUAUAUGGCGCAAAAGCCAUAUAAAGAUGGUUUGUUCAACCAAUAAUACCCUACAUGAGCUGAGUUCAGACCGGCGUAAGCCAGGUUAGUUUCUAUCCUCGAUAACUAAUUCUAUUUAUAGUACGAAAGGACCUAAAUAAGAAUAAUAAUUAUAUUUAAAGAAUAAAUAUAAAAUUAAUUUAAUAUAUAAAUC
rnacentral:rRNA from 1 species